AAUAGCACUAAUGUUCAUGUCAAAGUGAACCCUUUUAAGCACACAUGCCAGGAAUCAACCCUUAGGAAGGAUACAAUCAGUAGAGCCAAGUCAAGAUGGGUGGCAGAAGAAGUAAAGAAGUGGGUGAAAGAAAACCAGCAAGUGGGUCCAAAGGAAUUGCAGAAGAACAUCAAAGAUAAGUUCAAGAUAGAUUUACCAUACAUGAGGUUGUUCAAUGGUAAACAACAUGCUAUGAAUUCAAUUUAUGGUAACUGGCAGGAAAGUUUUCAAUUGUUGUAUUCAUUCAAAGGUGAAGUGGAGAGGACAAGCCCAGGUAGUAUUGUAGAUAUUGAUCACCACACCGUGGAGUACACAUUCAGGGGAGUGACAAAGACCAAGGAAUGCUUUAGGAGGGUUUUUGUCUGCUUUGAGGCUUGUCGCCGGGGUUUUUUGGCAGGCUGCAGGCCUUAUUUGGCUAUUGAUGCCACUUUUCUCACAGGGAGGUUUAAAGGACAGUUAGUAGCAGCUUGUGCAGUUGAUGCACAUAGUUUUGUAUUUCCAGUUGCCUAUGGUGUGCUGGAGACAGAGUCUGAGGAGAGUUGGACUUGGUUUUUGCAUAAUCUCCGCCGGGCUAUUGCGCAUCCCAAUGGGUUGGUCAUUCAUACAGAUGCCUGCAAAGGUUUAGAAGUGGCCGUGGACUAUGUGUUCCCUGGAGUAGAGCAUAGGGAAUGCAUGCGUCACCUUGCUGCAAAUUUCAUGAAGAAAUUCAAAGGAAAGGUGUAUACCGACAAUCUAUGGCCAUCAUCUUUGACAUGCAGUGUGAAGAAGCACAACUACCACUUGAGGCAGUUAUACAUGAAUCCCAAAGUGAAAGAAUACUUGGAAACACACCACUCCAAGUUAUGGGCCAGAAGCCAAUUCAGUAAAGUGAGCAAAGUUGACUAUGUGCACAAUAAUCUAGCAGAGUCUUUCAACUCAACGAUCCAGAAACUAAAG
rnacentral:rRNA from 1 species